GUCUGCAUCCCUGUAGCCCGAGACUGGCCUCUCUCCCUACAUCUCUGUGGGGGGUUCUUAGCUUUGUUCCUCCUUUCCCCCAGGAACCUUCCUAUCCUUGCUUUUCUGCUUUAAAACCAGAAACCUUUGUGCUCAGAACAGCAGGUUCCAUUGGCCUGAGAGGGCAAAAGAAAGAUGCGUUUCUUUUGACCUUAGCUUGAACGUAAAGACUCAGGGGAAGUGAUCUAAAUUUUGGUUUCCUAGAGCUCAGUCCUGAACCUCACGGCAGACACAUGCCUCCUCUCCACGACUUUACUCUCAGGGUUUUUGAGGUCAUUUGGGUAAUCUUCUUUUUUCCUUUUUCUUUUUGGAGCACAGACCCUUUAUAUGAAAUGAAAGCAAAGUAGGCCUGGUUGACUCAGGGUACAGGGCUCGGAACCUGAAGCCACUAUCCUUUUAGUUUUUCUGUCUUAUCUCCAAAGCACUUCCAGAACCCAGCUCAAAUGCCACUAAGUGAAAAGUGUCUUAAACUUUCUAGAGGCAUAGGCUCCUCAGAAACAAGCAAAAGAGGUGGUAUAUCACAGCUCAUUCCCAUUUGGUGAGGGAGCUUUUCCUGUAGGAUCACAGAAGAGGAGAGAACGGGGUCCCAUGGGGACCAGCAGAAAGCCCUAGUGGGGGUGGCUGCUUGGUGAAGGGGAAGGAGAGGUGGCUAGGGGUCCUCACAGGGCCCAGAGUGUUCUGUAAAUGCUUUGGGGGCAGAACGGGUCCUGGGGCUAGGGCACUGGAUAGGAGUCUGUACCAUCUUGAAGCCUACCAAUUUACACCAUCGAGUAUUUCAAACGGUGAAAUUAUCCAAACCUUUAUAUUCCAACAAAAGCUUAAAUUGGGCCUUUCCCCAGGAUCUUCUGUCCCCAGCUGAGAUACACACUUGUGCCCCAUUCCCCUCCCUGCUCUCCUUCCUCUUUCCCUCAUUCUCUGCAUGCCUGCUUCUGUGUGCUUCUGCACCAAGGAGGGGAGCUUGAGCUCCACACACACCAGCUGACAUGGAUCUGGGGGUGACUAGCAGCCUCCCAGUAAUAGGGACGUGAACUGGAAUGGGUGGAACCAAGUUAGGAAAAGGUGCCAGGCUUAGUUGGAGAAAGCGUUUGCAUAUUUCUAUCCAGGAAAGAAGCUAGAAUCAGUUAUACUUUACAAAGUGUUGAAUAAGUUCCUGUCAGAGGCCCAGUGCUGUACUCAGUUCUAGGGGCCCGCCAGAAGAGAAGAGGUUGAUGUAGUUUUCAUCUAGCUUUGAGAAGUCGCAAGGUUAAUUGAAGAGGAAAUUGGACACACCUGGAAUCAGCUAAGCACUGACUGGUCUGUGGUACUGGACCCUACAUUGCAUGGCUCCGUCCAAGAAACUACUGGGCAAAAACUUACUGGAGAAAACUUAAAGGAUGUAGGAAGAUUGGAGCCCAGUCGGCGAUUGCCUCGAGAGAAUGGGAUUGGAGGCGAGGACGGGGUGGAAAGACACACCUUUCAUUUUUUACCUUGUACACGUUUUCUUUAAAAGGAGAAGGUGUUCCUGCUAUAACUUAAAAGCAACAAAAUAUUUUUAUGGUUUCUGUUCUAUAUAUUGAUGUUCUUUGCCCAACUGGAACAUGGUGUUUGUGGUGGAAGGAUGUCGAAAUUACAGCUGGAUUGGUCUGGUUGGGUGGUGGGUUUGGAGGUUUGUGUGUCAGACCACAGGAAAUGUAGGCCACUGAGCAGGGAAGCUAUGGUGAGAGCAAUGGUUUCAAAGGAUUUGGCUGAGGGUGUAAGGAUGAAUAGAAGAGGGUGGGAACUAGACACAGAGGUCUCAAUUAGGAUUUGUUGUAACCUGGGCAUAGAGUGAAGAAAAGGUGGUUAGAAAUAGAAAGGACUGAUGUUGAAAAUAUUUAACCACCAGAAGAACCCAGGCACUGACCUACGGGAAUAGGCCCUACCUAUGGAGAACUGGCCCUGCUGUCACCAGGGAUGCAAGGCACUGACUAGAUCUUAGCUCCCCGUAGAGAUGUGUCAAAGUUCACACCGGAUGUGUUAGAAAAGACCCAUCAAGGAUGAUGUCAAAGCUCCUUGGAUGUUGGAAGGAUUGGCGGUACCUCAGCUAGAAAUGGGAGUGGUUGUGAAGGAAUGCCCAUGAUGACAGCAAAAGUUUUACUUGGACCCCCUGAGAUGAAUAGACAGGUGGAGAUCUGUGGGGAGAGGACUUUUAAGGUGCUGGGAAGUACGUGAGGUGGCCCAGGGAAGAGGUCAGCACUGGACAUGCUGAUGGGGACUCGUGUGAAUGAAUUCCAUGAGUUCACUCCCUCAGCCGGUUCCAUGCUUUGGGAGCUGGGAAGACAGCGACAUAAUCCACCCUUUAAGGUGUUCAGAGACCUUAAAGGGGAGAGACAGGGGAACCAGCAGUGCUGCAUGCUCCGGGCAGGUCUGUCAAAGGAGGUGUGCUAAGGGUGGGCCCUGGAGGAACAGAUACCAGCAUUCAUACCAAAACAGGAAAUCUUCCCGAAGGUGAUGGCCUCUAAACUGAGUUGAAGGAUCUUGCUAGGUUGAAGUGAGCAGGAAAGGGGGAAGAAUAUUCCAGGCAGAGGGAAUAGCGUAAGAUAGAGAGGUUUGAAACUGCAAUGAUUCUGGGAACUUCAGUAGCUCUGAAAGGCUGAAGGAAAGACUGAUUUCACUACUUUGUGAAAUAAAAUUAGAUAAAUAAGAUAAAUUUCACUAUUUUGGACCUGAAAUAAAGUAGUAACAGCCAAGACUGUGGUGAAAAUAUGGAUAAAGGAGCCAUUGAAGGAUAGGUUUCUGAUGGAACUUUGUAGAGGGCUGGCCCCAGGGAUGAGUGUCAGGUGCAGCCAUGCAAUAUUAGUGUAAGGAGCUAAUUUAAAAAGAUACAGCUCUCAGGGUCCAGCCUGGAAUUCAGAUUCAGGAAGACUUGGGUGGGAGGCAAAAUCUGAAUUUUAAUAAUACUCCCCUUCUCCCAUAUGAAUCUAAAGUGCGUGAAGGUUUAAGUGUUUCGUAAAGACAAAAUUUCAGGGCCAUCUGUCAUUGAGAGGCUGGAAGAAGAAGAGUCAUCAAAGGAAACAGAAAAGACAGAAAAGGUGGGGGAAAAACAGAAGUGUGCAACAGUGUUGGACCUUACAGAGCACUGAGAAGGAUGAGGGCAGGGCCAGCAAAUGGUUAAAUAAAUCACUUCAAACAAGAACAUGUAUGGGGAAGCUAGUGUCUGACCCUGCUAUGCACUCAGCGAGUUUUGUGCAUGAGAAAAGACUUUGAAUAUAGUGGUGGGAACGAAGGCAAAGAUGCAAAAGUUUAAGAAGGGAAUGACCAACCAAAACUGAAAGGCCAGAACAGGUUGAGGAAAAUAUUCACAGCAGUGUGAUGGGAAGGGUUAAUAUUAUUUUUCUACAAAAAGCUCUGCCUAGCAAACAAGAGUUCCCUCUAAAGCCCAGCAGACAAAUGGUCAGAGAAGUUGCGCUGACAACCCAGAGAAGAGGAGGUAGAACUGGUUAACAAAUAUGGAGGUUUAGCCUCACCAGUAUCAGCGAAAUGCAAGUUGAAAUGAGCCUCCAUAUUUUGACUCUUAAGUUUGGGAUAGUAGAGUAAAUUGCAAUGGCCCUUUCGGAAACAGCCUGCGUGUCAAAAGCUGUAAAAUUAUUCCUGCUGGUUUUACCCUUUAAUUUUACUUCUGGGAAUUUCUCCCAAAGAAAUAAUUCAAGGUCGCACCUGGCUGGCUCAGUUGGAAGGGCAUGCCACUCUUGAUCUUGGGGUCAUGAGUUUGAGCCCCACACUGGGUGUAGAGAUUACAAAAAUAAAUGAACUUUAGGAGAAAAUAGAAAUAAUUCAAAAUAUGGAAAAAUUGAAAGCAGAAGGAUGUUCAACAUAACAUUAUCUCUAACUGAAAAAAAUUGGAGACGAUUUCAAAAGUCAAUAAGAUAAUGACUAAAUAAUUACAGGAAACCCAUUUACUAGACCUUUACAGAGUUACUAAUUUUUUCAUGACUAUAUAAUCAUAUGUUUUAUAUCAAGUGGACAAAAUGGGAUAUAAAGCAGUAUGUACACUGUCAUCUAAAUUUUGUUUAAAAAAACAAUAUGUUUGUCGAUUAUAUUCAGUAUAUAUUAUGUGGAUAGAUGAAACCCCAUGAAGUGUUAAUAGUAACUUCACUGGGUGAUGGGAAUUUGGGAAACUUUUAUUUUAUAUAUUUUUCUGUGUUUUCUACCUUUUUUAUGUAGACCAUGCAUUGCUUUGAGAACCAGAAUAAAAAUCAAAAUACUAUUUGUUUUAAAAGUAAGGCAUCAACUUGGAUAUAGCUUAUAAUGAUAUUUUUAAAUUAUGUAAGAAAAAAGACUAAUAAGAGAGGUAGGAUUAUGGAUGGUUCAACUUUUCUGGACUCUCUUGAAGGUCAAGGUGAUGACCCGUGUGUAUGAGGGAGGCCUGUGAGUUUGCUCAGAAGAUGCUGACCUGUGAGCAGCCUGGGUCUUUUAGAGACCACACCUUGCUUUCCCAGCAUCUCCCUUCCCAGUUCCUGGUGCUUAAGGUCUGUAGGAAAGUUUCCUCCUAGCUGUCCAAAAGCUUUCACAAGAUGCUGGAACAUUAGCCCUGGUUUGAGCAUUGAGUCCACUUUGUGCUCUCGAGUGUAAGGACUCCAGAUUCUGAUUCGGUUUCUCUGAGAGUGGAUACAGGGACCCAGGGUCUGUAGAAGAAUGACAGCCACUUGCGAGGACAAAACUGGAGGGGCCACAGACUCUCAGAUCCUGAGAGGCCCCUAGCUGAGGACAGUUAGUGCAUUUUGCUCGUCCCAGGCCAGAAUGGCCAUCCAGUCUUUAAAAAAGUAAUAAAGGAAGAAAAGAAAAGAAAAAAAA